rnacentral:ncRNA from 1 species
UUCCACUAGGGGAGCUUUUGCUGAGAGACGUUUCGUCGACCCUUGGAACCUGUCGGGGUAAUACCUGCGUAGGGAAGUGG